rnacentral:rRNA from 1 species
UCUGGUUGAUCCUGCCAGUAGCAUAUGCUUGACCUGGAGAUUAAGCCAUGCAUGUCUAAGUAUAAGUUAUACACAGCGAAACUGCGAAUGGCUCAUUAAAUCAGAAAUAAUUUAUUUGAUGAUCUUUUUACAUGGAUAACCGUGGGAAACUGGGGCUAAUACAUGCGUAAAGCCUAACGGCUGUAUUUAUUAGUUUCAAUCCAAUUUAACUUCUGUUAAAUUUGAGGAAUCAUAAUAACUAAUCGGAGCGAUGCAAGUCGCUACAUCAUUCAAGUUUCUGCCCUAUCAGCUUGUUGGUAGUGUAUUGGACUACCAAGGCUAUAACGGGUAACGGAGAAUUGGGGUUCGAUUCCGGAGAAGGAGCCUGAGAAACGGCUACUAUUUCUAAGGAAGGCAGCAGGCGCGUAAAUUACCCAAUCCUGACUCAGGGAGGUAGUUAAUGGAAAUAAUGAAUCCGUCUCAUUGAGAUUUGGACAAGUAAUGAGUUGAAUUUAGAUAAUUCUUCGAAUACUAUUGAAGGGCAAGUCUGGUGCCAGCAGCCGCGGUAAUUCCAGCUUCAAUAGCGUAUAUUAAAGUUGUUGCAGUUAAAAAGUUCGUAGUUGAAUGUCGGCAAUUUGCCUGUCAGAUCAUCAUGUCGCUAUACUUGUAUUGUGGCAUGAGUGACUGACUUUUACUGUGAAAAAAUUAAAGUGCUCAAAACAGGCGUUUGCUUGAAUAAUUUAGCAUGGAAUAAUAAAAUAAGACUUUCUUCAUUUUAUUGGUUUGAUGUGGAAAGUAAUGAUUAACAGAAACAGUUGGGGUCAUAUGUAUUUGAUAGUCAGAGGUGAAAUUCUAUGAUUUAUCAAAGACAAACUAAAGCGAAAGCAUUUGGCAAGAAUGUUUUCAUUAAUCAAGAACUAAAGUUGGGGGAUCCAAGACGAUUAGAUGCCGUCGUAGUCCCAACCAUAAACUAUACCGACUAGGGAUUGGAGGGCUAUAGAGCCUUUCAGCACCUAAUGAGAAAUCAAAGUCUUUGGGUUCUGGGGAGAGUAUGGUCGCAAGGCUGAAACUUAAAGGAAUUGACGGAAGGGCACACCAGGAGUGGAGUCUGCGGCUUAAUUUGAUUCAACACGGGAAAACUUACCAGGGCAACAUGUUGGAAGGAUUGACAGCUUGAUAGCGCUUUCUUGAUUCGAUAAUACGUGGUGCAUGGCCGCUCUUAGUUGGUGGAGUGAUUUGUCAGGUUAAUUCCCUUAACGAACGAGACCUCAGCCUGCUAAAUAGAGGCAUCUAUAUCUUAGGUGUACUCUUCUUAGAGGGACUACCGUGAGACAAUCCGGUGGAAGUUUGAGGCAAUAGCAGGUCCGUAUGCUCGUAGAUGUCCUGGGCCGCACGCGUACUACAAUGAUGCAUGCAAUAAGUUUCUAUACCGAAAGGCUAUGGGAAAUCUUUAUAAAGUGCAUCGUGUUUGGGAUAGACCUUUGCAAUUGUAGGUCUUGAACUAGGAAUUCUUGGUAGGUAUGAGUCAUCAUCUCAUGCCGACUACGUCCCUGCCCUUUGUACACACCGCCCGUCGCUCCUACCGAUUCGAGUGUUUCGGCGAAUUCUUCGGAUACUGCUCGAAAGAGUGGUAAAAGUCGUGUAAGUCAUAACACUUAGAGGAAGGGUAAGGCGUAACAAGGUUUCCGUAGGUGAACCUGCGGAAG